AUUAAGCAGGAAAUAGAAUGCAUCCUAGGAGACCCUGUGGACCUUACAAUGGGAGCCGCUCUCAUACACCACACGGAUAGACCCAUACCCUCUUACAAAAAAUCAAUUCUGCGACACCUGCUAAACGUGGCGAAAUCCCUAAUCCCACUGCACUGGAGGGAUGAACAUAUACCCACAGUGGAACAAUGGAAGACUAAAGUCGAAGACAUAAGAAGGGCAGAAGCCAAAAUAGCUGAAACAAUAGGCAAGGAGGAAAAACAUACAGAGCUGUGGAC